AGUGAACGCUGGCGGCGUGCUUAAUACAUGCAAGUCGAACGAUGAAGUCCUAGCUUGCUAGGAUGGAUUAGUGGCGCACGGGUGAGUAAUAUAUAGUUAAUCUGCCUUGCACUGAGGAACAACAGUUGGAAACGAUUGCUAAUACCUCAUACUUCAACUUUACAUAAGUUAAGUUGGGAAAGUCUUUUCGGUGCAAGAUGAGACUAUAUCGUAUCAGCUAGUUGGUAAGGUAAUGGCUUACCAAGGCUAUGACGCGUAACUGGUCUGAGAGGAUGAUCAGUCACAUUGGAACUGAGACACGGUCCAAACUCCUACGGGAGGCAGCAGUAAGGAAUAUUGGGCAAUGGGGGAAACCCUGACGCAGCAACGCCGCGUGGAGGAUGACACUUUUCGGAGCGUAAACUCCUUUUGUUAGGGAAGAAUAAUGACGGUACCUAACGAAUAAGCACCGGCUAACUCCGUG
rnacentral:rRNA from 1 species